rnacentral:rRNA from 1 species
UACGUAGGUGACAAGCGUUGUCCGGAUUUACUGGGCGUAAAGAGCGCGCAGGCGGUCGUUCAAGUCGAGUGUGAAAGCCCCCGGCUCAACUGGGGAGGGCCAUUCGAUACUGAUCGACUCGAAGGCAGGAGAGGGAAGUGGAAUUCCCGGUGUAGUGGUGAAAUGCGUAGAUAUCGGGAGGAACACCAGUGGCGAAGGCGACUUCCUGGCCUGUUCUUGACGCUGAGGCGCGAAAGCUAGGGGAGCAAACGGG